rnacentral:rRNA from 1 species
AUUGAACGCUGGCGGCGUGCCUUACACAUGCAAGUCGAACGGUAACAGGCCUUCGGAUGCUGACGAGUGGCGAACGGGUGAGUAAUACAUCGGAACGUGCCUAGUAGGGGGGGAUAACUACUCGAAAGAGUGGCUAAUACCGCAUGAGAUCUACGGAUGAAAGCAGGGGAUCGCAAGACCUUGUGCUACUAGAGCGGACGAUGGCAGAUUAGGUAGUUGGUGGGAUAAAAGCUUACCAAGCCGACGAUCUGUAGCUGGUCUGGGAGGACGAUCAGCCACAAUGGGACUGAGACACGGCCCAGACUCCUACGGGAGGCAGCAGUGGGGAAUUUUGGACAAUGGACGAAAGCCUGAUCCAGCAAUGCCGCGUGCAGGAUGAAGGCCUUCGGGUUGUAAACUGCUUUUGUACGGAACGAAAAGCCCCGGGUUAAUACCCUGGGGUCAUGACGGUACCGUAAGAAUAAGCACCGGCUAACUACGUGCCAGCCGCCGCGGUAA